rnacentral:rRNA from 1 species
GAAUAUUGGACAAUGGGGGCAACCCUGAUCCAGCCAUGCCGCGUGUGUGAAGAAGGCCUUUUGGUUGUAAAGCACUUUAAGCAGUGAAGAAGACUCCAGGGUUAAUACCCAGCGACGAUGACAUUAGCUGCAGAAUAAGCACCGGCCAACUCUGUGCCAGCAGCCGCGGUAAUACAGAGGGUGCAAGCGGUAAUCGGAAUUACUGGGCGUAAAGCGAGCGUAGGUGGCUUGAUAAGUCAGAUGUGAAAUCCCCGGGCUAAACCUGGGAACUGCAUCUGGUACUGUUAGGCUAGAAUAGUUGAGAGGAAGGUAGAAUUCCAGGUGUAGCGGUGAAAUGCGUAGAGAUCUGGAGGAAUACCGAUGGCGAAGGCAGCCUUCUGGCAUCAUAUUGACACUGAGGUUCGAAAGCGUGGGUAGCAAA